rnacentral:rRNA from 1 species
CUAACACAUGCAAGUCGAGCGGAUGACGGGGGCUUGCUCCUUGAUUCAGCGGCGGACGGGUGAGUAAUGCCUAGGAAUCUGCCUGGUAGUGGGGGACAACGUUUCGAAAGGAACGCUAAUACCGCAUACGUCCUACGGGAGAAAGCAGGGGACCUUCGGGCCUUGCGCUAUCAGAUGAGCCUAGGUCGGAUUAGCUAGUUGGUGGGGUAAUGGCUCACCAAGGCGACGAUCCGUAACUGGUCUGAGAGGAUGAUCAGUCACACUGGAACUGAGACACGGUCCAGACUCCUACGGGAGGCAGCAGUGGGGAAUAUUGGACAAUGGGCGAAAGCCUGAUCCAGCCAUGCCGCGUGUGUGAAGAAGGUCUUCGGAUUGUAAAGCACUUUAAGUUGGGA